GGGCCUUGUACACACCGCCCGCCACACCAUGAGAAGUCGGGAACACCCGAAGUCCGUAGCCUAACGCAAGGGGGCGCGGCCGAAGGUGGGUUCGAUAAUUGGGGUGAAGUCGUAACAAGGUACC
rnacentral:rRNA from 1 species